GGCGCNUAGUAGUGUGGGNGAACGGCCCACCAAGCCGACGAUGCGUAGGGGUUCUGAGAGGAAGGUCCCCCACAUUGGAACUGAGACACGGUCCAAACUCCUACGGGAGGCAGCAG
rnacentral:rRNA from 1 species